rnacentral:rRNA from 1 species
GAACGCUAGCUACAGGCUUAACACAUGCAAGUCGAGGGGCAGCAUGGUCUUAGCUUGCUAAGGCCGAUGGCGACCGGCGCACGGGUGAGUAACACGUAUCCAACCUGCCGUCUACUCUUGGACAGCCUUCUGAAAGGAAGAUUAAUACAAGAUGGCAUCAUGAGUCCACAUGUUCACAUGAUUAAAGGUAUUCCGGUAGACGAUGGGGAUGCGUUCCAUUAGAUAGUAGGCGGGGUAACGGCCCACCUAGUCUUCGAUGGAUAGGGGUUCUGAGAGGAAGGUCCCCCACAUUGGAACUGAGACACGGUCCAAACUCCUACGGGAGGCAGCAGUGAGGAAUAUUGGUCAAUGGGCGAGAGCCUGAACCAGCCAAGUAGCGUGAAGGAUGACUGCCCUAUGGGUUGUAAACUUCUUUUAUAAAGGAAUAAAGUCGGGUAUGCAUACCCGUUUGCAUGUACUUUAUGAAUAAGGAUCGGCUAACUCCGUGCCAGCAGCCGCGGUAAUACGGAGGAUCCGAGCGUUAUCCGGAUUUAUUGGGUUUAAAGGGAGCGUAGAUGGAUGUUUAAGUCAGUUGUGAAAGUUUGCGGCUCAACCGUAAAAUUGCAGUUGAUACUGGAUAUCUUGAGUGCAGUUGAGGCAGGCGGAAUUCGUGGUGUAGCGGUGAAAUGCUUAGAUAUCACGAAGAACUCCGAUUGCGAAGGCAGCCUGCUAAGCUGCAACUGACAUUGAGGCUCGAAAGUGUGGGUAUCAAACAGGAUUAGAUACCCUGGUAGUCCACACGGUAAACGAUGAAUACUCGCUGUUUGCGAUAUACUGCAAGCGGCCAAGCGAAAGCGUUAAGUAUUCCACCUGGGGAGUACGCCGGCAACGGUGAAACUCAAAGGAAUUGACGGGGGCCCGCACAAGCGGAGGAACAUGUGGUUUAAUUCGAUGAUACGCGAGGAACCUUACCCGGGCUUAAAUUGCAGAUGAAUUACGGUGAAAGCCGUAAGCCGCAAGGCAUCUGUGAAGGUGCUGCAUGGUUGUCGUCAGCUCGUGCCGUGAGGUGUCGGCUUAAGUGCCAUAACGAGCGCAACCCUUGUUGUCAGUUACUAACAGGUUCUGCUGAGGACUCUGACAAGACUGCCAUCGUAAGAUGUGAGGAAGGUGGGGAUGACGUCAAAUCAGCACGGCCCUUACGUCCGGGGCUACACACGUGUUACAAUGGGGGGUACAGAGGGCCGCUACCACGCGAGUGGAUACCAAUCCCAAAAACCUCUCUCAGUUCGGACUGGAGUCUGCAACCCGACUCCACGAAGCUGGAUUCGCUAGUAAUCGCGCAUCAGCCACGGCGCGGUGAAUACGUUCCCGGGCCUUGUACACACCGCCCGUCAAGCCAUGGGAGCCGGGGGUACCUGAAGUGCGUAACCGCGAGGAGCGCCCUAGGGUAAAACUGGAGAC